GCACCAACGGCGAUUGACGAGCGAGAGGCGUCCACCGUCCUCUCUGGGUCUGGCUGGGAUGGCACCCGAUUCCCCAACAUAAAAUUCCGGGUGACAGCGCGUGGACAGGAACCAAUCCCCUUCUCAACCCCGAACCCAAGCGGCCAACCAAACGCGCAUAAAAGCAGCCCCCCGAUCUCCUCCAACGGCAGCAGAGAACGCGUCGCACUCGCAAGAAACAGAGCCCAGCAAGGAAAGCAAAACCAACCCCGGCGAGAGAAGGAACCCCCGACAUCCGGCGAUGGCUUCGCAGGCGAUCGAGGAGCACCGGUCGGGCGCGGAGGUGCACACGGAGCUGUGCGAGGCCAGGGCCCGCGAGUUCCUCGUCGAGCUGGGCCUCCCCGACGGGCUCCUCCCGCUGCCGUCCCUCGUGGAGGUGGGCUACAACCGCGCCACCGGCUUCGUGUGGCUCCGCCAGGGCCAGUCCGGCGGCCUCACCCACACCUUCGACGCCAUCGGCAAGCAGGUCUGGUACGCGCCCGAGGUGACGGCCGUGGUGGAGCGCGGCCGGAUGCACAGCAUGACCGGGGUCAAGAGCAAGGAGCUGCUCAUCUGGGUCACCAUCUCCGAGAUCGUCAUCAGCCCCUCCGGCUCCAAGAUCGUCUUCCGCACCCCCGCCGGCCUCGGCCGCGCCUUCCCCGUCUCCGCCUUCCAGCUCAACCCGCCGGCGCCCGAGGCCGAGGCCAAGGCCGCCGAGGAGGCCGCCGCCAACUGAUCGAUCUGCUCGCGAGUCAAGUCAGCGGCAUUUUUAGGAGUGGAUUUGAUGAUGUGGCACGGUGUGGCAGGGAUUUUGACUUUUGACCAAAUAAAUGAGUGCUAUGUCAGCACUCAACACGGGUGUCGUUUUCUUCCCCGCGAGCAGUGGCUUGGCCUUUGCCGCUGAUGAGGUCUCCUAUUACAGGUAUGGUCAAGGACCUAUCAUUUGGGACCCGCAUGGGGCCCAUAACCAACGUGUGUAGGUCCCUGGAUCAUACCAGUAUUCGGACGCAUACAUCAGGAAGUCCACUCGGUCGACUCGACUGCACUCGGAGAACCACCCGCCACUCGGCAGACGAAUCGCCACUCGGACCAAGAAAUCAAGCAGGCGGCGUGGGAGCUGCAACAGUCGAGGAAUCCUAAGUCAUCCAUUAAAACAGAGUCGUGGCUACCAUUACCUGUAACUGCCGUAGUAGAGGCUCGCUCUACCUGUAACUUACGUAUUCAGUGUCAUUUAAUGCCCAAACGGCGUGGAUGACAUGGGGUUGCGGUGCACUCUAUAUAAGCCGCAUCCCCUACAUAAUCAGGCAUGAGCAACCUUUGUAACCAUACCCAUAAAAUCAAAGCAAACCUCAGGGCACGAG
rnacentral:rRNA from 1 species